GUUCUUAGGGAGCUAAUGAAGAGGAAUGAGGAGCAGGUGUGCGCGUGGGGGAGGCAAUCGGGUGAAGAAAUGGCGCUGGACCCGGUGAGGACAACUGCUGGACUGUGCAGCAAAAAGGUUUUCUGGUAGAACUCAAACAGAAAAAAAAGCUGGCCUUCAUCGUGAGACUGCAUCGAAGCCCCAGAAAGUUUCUCUGGGCACGUUGAACAUCACUUCUCUGGGGAGUACGGACAUGUGAAGGAUGGAGAUGGCAACUGGAUAUAGUGGAGCUCAUUUCUGCACGUAAGGUGCUGAACUGGAACAAAGCUGCUGGAAGUGGAUUGAUGACACUCCAGUACCUCCGUGUCUCCUCUCGUCUUCUCUCUCUGAAGGUCUGAACGCCGACUCACGCUGUUGAUUGCAGAAGAGAUGCACAUCACGUACCAGACUGAAUGCAAUUUUAAAUGUGUCAUAUUUUUUUUACUUCAAAUGGACAAUUCUGGUCCUUUUAUGCAUAUUUACCUGCAAUUUAGUGUCACAUAUUUUUCACCUCUGCAAUUUGCAUUCAUGUUUGAUAUAAUUGCUUGAAGUUGAUGAUUUGAAUUACUACUAAUGGACCCGCAAAAGGAUCUGUACGGUUAAGGAGGU
ensembl:lncRNA